rnacentral:rRNA from 1 species
AUUGAACGCUGGCGGCAGGCCUAACACAUGCAAGUCGAGCGGAGCGGCGGACGGGCGAGUAAUGCCUAGGAAUCUGCCUGGUAGUGGGGGAUAACGUACGGAAACGGGCGCUAAUACCGCAUACUAUCAGAUGAGCCUGGGUCGGAUUAGCUAGUUGUUGGGGUAAAGGCCUACCAAGGCGACGAUCCGUAACUGGUCUGAGAGGAUGUGCAGUCACACUUGACUGGAGACACGGUCCAGACUCCUACGGGAGGCAGCAGUGGAGAAUAGUGGACAAUGGGAGAAAGCCUGAUCCAGCCAUGCCGCGGGUGUGAAGGAGGGCUUCGGAUUGUAAAGCACUUUAAGUUGGGAGGCGUUACCAACAGAAUAAGCACCGGCUAACUUCGUGCCAGCAGCCGCGGUAAUUC